GACGAACCGUCCAAACGUUAUUCGGAAUCACUGGGCUUACAGAGUUCGUAGGCGGUCUGGAAAGUUGGGUGUGAAAUCCCUCGGCUCAACCGAGGAACUGCGCUCAAAACUACCCGACUCGAGGGAGAUAGAGGAAAGCGGAACUGAUGGUGGAGCGGUGAAAUGCGUUGAUAUCAUCAGGAACACCGGUGGCGAAGGCGGGUCUCUGGACAGAUCCUGACACUGAGGCACGAAAGGCCAGGGAGCAAACGGG
rnacentral:rRNA from 1 species